GCCGCCACUGGCUCAUCGGGACAGAGCAUCAACCUUCUAAGUUGAUGGUAUGGGGGGCGAUUCCCGCUGUCCGCUCCA
rnacentral:tRNA from 1 species